UAGGGAGUAGUAUAGUGGUAAUACAAAAAAUUUUGGAUUUUUUUAUGGGGUUCGACUCCUCGUUCUCUAA
rnacentral:tRNA from 1 species